rnacentral:lncRNA from 1 species
GGCCGUCGUGAAAAUUUAGGCACCUCUGGCUGUAGCUGCGAUCGUCUUAGUUUAAUUACCUCUGUCUGCAACAUAGGUGUGUUUUGACGAUUUGCAACCCACAUAUUGAGCAGCCCCUCCGUUUGUUUCCGAAAAUUUCUUUGAAACAAUGGUCUUGUUUAUUUUUUGGGAAAACCUAUGCCGAUGUCAAAGAUUAGUCUCCUUUAAUUGGUAUUUCUACAAGAUCUGUGUAGAUUCCAAGAAAGUUACGAAAUUCAUAUCGUGAACACCGAGGUAGUAGUACUCAACUAUUGAUUCUUUCCUCUUUAAUCCACCCUAACCUUUAUCAUUAACCCCCCUUCAAAAAUAUAUAUUAUUCCAGGAUUCAUGCUCCUUACCAUCUAUAAAAAAAAACUCUUAUAUUUGAAAUAUGCGGAUGGUGGCAUACACAUACACACAGUAGAUUGAUGAACGCAUCUUCAUUUCAUAUCUAUUGAAGAAAUCAAUCACGGAUCCAAAUUGGUGAGUUGAUGCCCACUCUAGUUGCAUCGUUAUCUAUGAGCAUGUCACCUAUCAAUAAAAAUAUAGUAUUGUUAAUUUUUUAAAUAAAUUUAGAAAAAUACCAGCAUCUGUGCUGGGUCAAGAGUAAUUUUCCAACUCAGUAACAUAUAUAUGUGUAAGAAUAUUAGUGAGUAUGUGUACGUAUAUGUUUGUAUAUGUGUAUUGUGUUCCGCAAAAGAAAGAAUAAGGAAAAGGUCAGAUGCAUUCCUUAUGUUUUGCAAACCUUUGGCUGUCUCGGCAAAUCGGCAACAUAAUUUAACUCUUUAAUUUGUCUGUGCAAAUCCACUGUAACAAAAAUUAACUCUUUAAUUUGUCACUUUCGCAAAAUAUGUUUUUUUACCACAUAACUUCAUUCCUCUUCCAUUCAAUACCCCUUUCCACACCCCUUUGUACACAUUAAUUUCCAUCUACGCCCCUGCACUGCCUGCACCCGGAGUGUUGUGAGGCGGUGGGCUACGAGUUUUAGUGAUGGACUAUGGCAUCGCUAACGAUGGCUCGCCGUAUAUCUUUUCCCCCAAUUUUAGCGCAUAUUUUUGUUCCUUGAAUUUGUCCUCAAAGUUUUAUCUCCAAAUUUUUUGUUUACUUUUUUCCUCCAUUUUUUGUAUUCUAUUUCCAAUUUUUUUCUUCUGUAUGUUUUAUUAUUUUGUUGUGUUACAAUCUUUUAUAAUAUGUUUUCAUAAAUAUUAUUUUUUGGUUAUAUAUUUUGGCUUAUAUACAAUAUUAUAUGUAUAUUUUUGCAUGAGUUCGUAUUAUAAUCAAUAUAAAUUCCGUUACAUUAUUUUGUAUAAUUUUUUAACUUAAGAUGUUCC